rnacentral:lncRNA from 1 species
AAAUAUGCAGCAAAGAAAGGGCUUUGAAGCUGGAAAAUUUCAGCAACAUAUUUCCCUUGCUUGUAAGUGAUUUUAAUGUCUUUGCUUGAUGAUUUCUACAUUUUUGGAACCCCUAAAGCAUGAGCUUUCAUAAUAGGGGACUAUUUUGCAAAAUGAUGAAGAGUCUAGGGUUUUGCCAUGAGAUUAAAUGUGUUUUUUGCUGUGUUUUUAUGGAAGAUUAUGAGUGCUAGUUGUCUAAUAAACAACUUUUGUGAAAGAAAUUGCAUGAAAACACCUUAAAAAUGGCUAGAUUGCUAAGUUGUAAAAUGAGUUGUAAAUGUGUGAAAUAGUUGAAAUUAUGAGUUGCUAUAGUUAUGAAAAUGGUUCAUCUAGACUCAAGGAGUAAAGAAAUGUGAUAAAAAUUAUUUUACGAGACUAGGGGUAAUUUGGUAAUUUUGGCAAAAUAUAGGGGCAAAAUUGUAAAAAAUUGCUCAAGUGUGUCAAUGGACUAAUUUGAUCAGUACAUUGUUUUAAUAAGUUGAAUGUGAUAUUUUAGAUGAUGAAAAUCGAGAUUUGGACCUAGAACGGAAAGAAAUUAAUUAAGGGAUAAUUACGUCUUUUUUUUCACCUUUGUGGUAUCGAGGUAGGUUCAUGUGUAAAUAAUGUAGCAUAAUUGUUAUUUUUAAGUUAUUGAUGUUAAAUAUAUGAUAUGCUGAUUUUUAUCAUGAAAUAUAUGCUUUGUGGUUAUUUUCGAAUGAAAUGCAAGUUAUGUGUAUUAUCUGUUAAAUAUAAAGUGCUACCGAGUAUUGGUUUCGAUAUUUUACAGAAGAUGGCAAGGAUCUGUGUUCGAGGAAAAUCCCGUUUGAACCUUAGGAAUAGAUUAGGAUACAAGUGACAUGUCACUAGGAUGGUUGAGCAUCCGAACUCGUUGAGUUGAGUCCGAGUUCACUUAUGGAUGCGAAUGUUCGAACUCGUUGAGUUGAGUCCGAGUUCGUGAGAUGUAACUAGGCAUCCGAGCUCGUUGAGUUGAGUCCGAGUUCACUUAUGGAUGCAAACGCCCGAGCUCAUUGAGUUGAGUCCGAGUUCACUUAUUGGCGGGUUACAUGGUAGCUUGGCUACAUAUGUGGCACUUAUGUACAAACUUUCCAUGUAUCCGAAUUAUAUUCCGAUGCGUUCAACGGGUAAAAUUCUACUCAAAUGGAGGAAUACUCGAGAUGAAAGGGACGUAUUGGUAAAUGUUGUGAAAUGGAUACUUUGAACAAGUAAGAUGGUAAGAUGGUAAAUGAAAAUAUGAUAUGAAUGUCUCGGUGAUGAUUAUACAAACGAUGUUGUAUUAAUUUUGUGAACAAUGAUCAUGAAUGAGUAAUUUAGCCUUGACAGAUUUAAGUUACUGCAGUAGUGUAACUUUGAAAAUACACUAAAAAUAGUGGAAAAUAAGUUAGAGGUAGAAUAAAAUAUGGGAUUAAAGCUUAAUGAGUCUAUUUUCACAUGAAAGAAACAGGGUAUAUUAUGUGAUAUUUGAAUUCUUGUGAAACAGGGUCUGAAUAAAUUCGAGAUCCCUUUUCUGAAUUUAUAAAUUCACCAAAAAUUGUAAAAAAAUUACUAAGAGUCAUACCUUACAUGCAUGGAUUCCUUAUUGAGUCUAUUUUUAGGAGAAAUAAACGGCAUGGUUGUUGGAAUUUUGUACAGGGAGAAAUUCGGUUUGUAGUCUACAGGGUUCAGAGUGGUCAUACCCUGAAACAGGGGAGACUUUAACUAAUAAACUGUACUGAUUGGCCCCACCAAAAAUUCUAUAAAAAAAUUAGUAAGUAGAGAUAUGAGUAUAGUUUCAAGAGAAAUAGACGAGAACAUUAUUCGAGUCUUGUACUAUGAGAUAAUCGAACUUUAGUACAGAAGGGUCGGAACUGUCAGACAGUGAAUCAGGGGUAACUUUGAGGAAUAAACUGUACUAUUUGGCUUAACCAAAAAUUCUAGAAAUUUUAUGGAAGAAAGGAAAAUAAGUCUAGUUUCAGGGAAAAUUAACGGAACUUAAUUCAGAGUUUCGUAGCUCCAUAUAUAAAUAAUUUAGUGACCGUUGCUCAGAAAGACAGCUUGUAGUGAACUUGAGAAUAUGUUGUAAACAUUGAUAAAACAAGUUAAUGAGUUGCUUAUUGUUUUCAUAUGAACUUACUAAGCGAAAGCUUACCCCCCCUCUUCUUUCCCAUGUUUUCUAGAGUUUCCAGGUUAGCUCGGGUUGGAGGUCAUCAGAGAUAUUAUCACACUGUCGAGUUAACGCUAUCGGUGUAAGUAAACUCAAGUGAUUCUAGUCUAUGGCAUGUAUAGGGUUUUAAUGUGAGUAUGUAAUAUUAUGAUUUAGCUAAAGGCAUUGGCUUGUUAUUAAGGUAGUAUUAGUCAAUGUAAAUUGGCCUAUGUCGGCUAAUAUCGUUAUGGGCCCAUAUGAUUAUUCUUAUGCAUGUAUGUUAUUAUCUCUUGUGAUGUGGCUUACAACAUGUAUGCCUAGAGAUUGAAUUGAGAUUCAUUGAUGAGCUAUUAACUAAUGCAGGAUUAAGUGAUUGGUAAAUAGUUAAUAAUGCUUCAUGAAUGGUUUGUGGAUAUGAUUAUGCAUGCUUUGUGAUGGACAUGAGGUUUGAUGACAUGUUGAUAGCUAUAGCAUUAAUAUGGUAAAGAUGAAAGAAAAACU